UCCGGCUUAUCACCGGCAGUCCCACUAGAGUGCCCAACUGAAUGAUGGCAACUAAUGGCGAGGGUUGCGCUCGUUGCGGGACUUAACCCAACAUCUCACGACACGAGCUGACGACAGCCAUGCAGCACCUCGACUCCACUCCCUUGCGGGAUACCGGUGUUUCCACCGGCGUUGAGAAGCCGUUCGAGCCCAGGUAAGGUUCUUCGCGUUGCGUCGAAUUGAACCACAUGCUCCACCGCUUGUGCGGGCCCCCGUCAAUUCCUUUGAGUUUCAGCCUUGCGACUGUACUCCCCAGGCGGCAUAUUUAACGCGUUAGCUCCGGCACGGACAGAAUGAACUGCCCACACCAAACGUGCACCGUUUACAGCUAGGACUA
rnacentral:misc_RNA from 1 species